rnacentral:rRNA from 1 species
UACAGAGGGUGCGAGCGUUAAUCGGAAUUACUGGGCGUAAAGCGUGCGUAGACGGUUAUUUAAGUCGGGUGUGAAAGCCCCGGGCUCAACCUGGGAAUUGCAUUCGAGACUGAAUAGCUAGGGUACGGUAGAGGGAAGUGGAAUUCCACGUGUAGCGGUGAAAUGCGUAGAGAUGUGGAGGAACACCAGUGGCGAAGGCGGAUCUCUGGGCCUUACCUGACGCUGAGGCGCGAAAGCUAGGGGAGCGAACAGG